rnacentral:lncRNA from 1 species
UUUCGGGUUUGGGGUUUGGGGUUUCGGGUUUCGGGUUUGGGGUUUGGGGUUUGGGGUUUCGGGUUUAGGGUUUGGGGUUUGAGGUUUGGGGUUUAGGGUUUGGGGUUUCGGGUUUGGGGUUUCGGGUUUGGGGUUUCGGGUUUGGGGUUUCGGAUUUUAGGGAUUUAAACAAAACACUCGUUAAUUCCACGUAGGAUGAAAUCGUCGUAAACACCACGUAAAAGGAUUUAAACAAAACACUCGUUAAUUCCACGUAAGUGGAAAUCGUCGUAAACACCACGUAAAAUGAUUUAAACAUAACACUCGUUAAUUCCACGUAAGCAGAAAUCGUCGUA